rnacentral:rRNA from 1 species
GAUGAACGCUGGCGGCGUGCUUAAUACAUGCAAGUCGAGCGAACAGACGAGGAGUUUCCUCCUUUCUCGUUAGCGGCGGAGGGGAGAGUAACACGGGGGUAAUCUACUUAUAAGAGUGGGAUAACUUCGGGAAUCCGGAUCUUAUCCCGGAUAAUAUAUUUAACCGCAUGGUUCAAUAGUGAAAGACGGUUUUGCUGUCACUUAUAGGUGGAUCAGCGGCGCAUUGGCGAGUUGGUAAGGUAACGGCUUACCAAGGAAACGAUGCGUAGCCGACCUGAGAGGGUGAGCGGCCACGCGAGAACGUAGACCCGGUCCAGACUCCUGCGGGAGGCCACAGUCGGGAAUGUUGCGCAAUGGGCGAAAACCUGACGGAGCAACGCCGCGUGAGUGAUGAAGGUCUUCGGAUCGUAAACCUCUGUUAUGAGGGAAGAACAAAUGGGUAAGUAACUAUGGACGUCUUGACGGUACCUAGUGAGAAAGCCCCGGCUAACUACGUG